AAAGGAGAAUAAAAAAAUUACAGGUGAUAUGAGAAUAAAAUAUUUUUUCUAACAUGAAAUUUAUGUAUUAAAAAUAUUGUAAAAAAAUAAUUUCUCGAUAAUUCAAAAAUUUUGAAAAUAAAAUUUUUCUUCGAUUUAAUUUUUCAUAACAAUAAUAAUUAAUAUUAUUAUUAUAUUAGAAGAAUUUUGUUGUAGAAAAUUAUUAAAAAAAAAAUUAAAAUUGAACUUGAUGUUAAGUAAAAUAUUUUUGAACAAAGUAAGAAAUAAAACUGGAAAUUACGAUUAAAUUUUUAUUGGAGAAUAGAAAGAAGAAGACUUACUUGUCUUCAUUGUUGAACUGCAAUGGCUGCUGUUAAUUCGGUAAGUGCAUCAUACCUAGAAGAUGAUGGUUACUGCAAUAGUAAGUAUAAACAAUACUGCACUGAAAUAAUAAAAAAUUCUCUUUUUGUUGAUUACGUUUACACUCCAAAAUUUAAUCCUGAGCUCUUUGAAUUCUUUAAGAUAGAAAAUUGUUGAUCGUUUGAAUAGCUUCCUUUUAAAAUUACUUUAAGAGCGGGCUAUAGUUACUUUAUAGCCCGUUCUCGAUACUCGUUUCUACUCAAUUGAGAGAUUUUUAAUUUUUCGA